rnacentral:lncRNA from 1 species
CCAUAACAACUAAUAGAUUCAAUAUGUAGAGGUAGCAUGUCUACAUGGAAAACGCAUGCUAAUUGCCACAACAUACAAGCAUGGAUAGUGUCUUGUUGUUCUGGUAAAGGUGGGUCCUCAGUAGUUUGAUUGUGGCUGAAUCUGGGUCAUCUAAGAGAAGUAAAAAGCUAGAGGAGGUACAUUUAUGACCAGGUGUGAACUUCUCAUCUCAAUUAUAACAUAGCCCUUGAACUUGGCAAUCUAGCAAUUGGGCUAGGGUGAGGCGUUUAAGGGGUAGGGUGGGAGAGGGAGUAGGUAGUGUAUGAGUACGGGUUAUGGGUGGUGAAGUAUUCUAGGUAGAGGUAGU